CGGCGGCUGUAGCACGCCCCUACCCAGGUGACGACGACUCGGAGAUCGCGGUGGCGCCCCUACGUGAUGGAAAUCCCCCGGCGAUUUCCCGUGCGAUGGCGACCUCCACGACGAAGACCUGGCGCUUCCCCAGGCAACGGCUACUAGAGCUUACCCACGCGCCCACGUGACGGAGGCCCGACGGUCGCAGCGCUGGCUUCAUGCGGCCACGAAUCAGCGGCCAUGGAGGUGGCCCGCACGACGGCCCGACAGCGUCAUGGCGCUUCCCCCACGCGACGGAGACCCGAGGGCCACGACGCUGGCGGCUUUGCUGCUGCGAGAGAUACCCAAAGUUGCAGGCAGCCGGCACUGAUCCAAAGAUAGGCAGCCGGUGGAGGCCGGUGGUUCUCCAUCGUUGUGUCAGAGCGAAGGAAGAGGAAGUGUUCUGGACGAUUGGGGUCCAAAGGGAAAAGAUGGAAGUUUGUGCUCGUUAGGAGGAUGACACAUUGUACUGUAGAGGUGGCAAUUUGUAUACAUUGGAGAUGAAAACUUGUAUUCAUUAGGGUGACAAUUUAUAUUCCCUAGGGGUGGCAGUUUGUAUUCUUUAGGUGUGACGAUUUGUGUUUGCUAGGGGUGACAGCGAGAUAGUAUUUUUGUGGGGUUGUUUGAAUGGAGCUGGUAACUCGAUUUGGAUUGGUGGAGAUGCAUGAUGCAUUUGUGGGAGUUUGAUUUUGACCGAAACGGGGUGAACAUGCUUAUUUAUGUUCAUUAUGGGGUGGCAUUUUGCAGGCGAUAGAGUUUUGGCCUAAGCAUAUUAUUUUUUGCCACGGUUAUUUGUAUUCAUUAGGGAUGACAAUUUGUAUUCAUUAGGUAUGACAAUUUGUGAGGGAUAGUUUUUUUUACCGAAAUAUAUUCCUUUUGAUAUGGUUAUUUGUACUUAUCAGUGAUGGCAACUCUUAUACAUUAUGGGUGACAAUUUGUGGGUGAUAGAUUUUUAAGCGAAUUCUUAUUAUUAUUUGACAUGAUUAUUUGUGUUCAUUAGGGGUGAUGAUUUGUAUUAGUGGUUGGUCAUUUAACUUAGUUUGCUGGAGUGGAGGAGAUGCUAUAUACACUUGUGAGUGGUAGAUUUUGACCAAAAAUUUGCAGUCAAUAGAGGACUAGCAAUUUGCAGUUAAUAGAGGACUGUCAAUUUGUGUUUCAUUA